UACGGAGGGUGCAAGCGUUAAUCGGAAUUACUGGGCGUAAAGCGCACGCAGGCGGUCUGUUAAGUCAGAUGUGAAAUCCCCGGGCUUAACCUGGGAACUGCAUUUGAAACUGGCAGGCUUGAGUCUUGUAGAGGGGGGUAGAAUUCCAGGUGUAGCGGUGAAAUGCGUAGAGAUCUGGAGGAAUACCGGUGGCGAAGGCGGCCCCCUGGACAAAGACUGACGCUCAGGUGCGAAAGCGUGGGGGAGCAAACAGG
rnacentral:rRNA from 1 species